CUGUGAUGUUUACAGGUCGCCAAACGUCGAGUUCCGCUUGCCAAGAAAAGAUGGAACUUCCAUAGAAAAGGAGCCAGUUGUCGACGGCUUGGUGCUGGUUGAAGAUGACAUGAUCGUCAGCAAGUGUUCCAACAGUGGCAUAAUUGGUGUGGGAGCUGUCCAGUCACGUGGCUCCCAUCAGAAAGUUCUCCCAGAAAUUACAGAAAGUGAAAGUGGAGUACAGGAGCACAUUUCUCUGGAGCGACACCAAGGUCGAUUACUUUUACCCAUCAGCCACCACCGAUGUUAUGGCCUGUGGCGAUGACACUGGGACCGUCUGGCUGUACAGUAUUGGAAAAAAGGGGGCAACUUUGGUGAAGCCCGUGGCCAAGCUGACAUGGCCUGAUAAACUUUCGUGUAGUGACCAAGUGUCCGUGACGAAAAAGGAUGGAAAGGUUAAUGCAAAUUCCGUAAGACUAAGUCCUGAUGGAGACUACAUGGUAGUGUGCACAGAUCUCAACAUUGUGUGUAUAUGGAGGAUCACGCGAUAAAACACCAGAUUUUAGCAGAAGACAUCAUUAUCAUCAGAUCGUGAAAUCAAGGUUUUUAUAUGACACAGCGGCAUAUUUCUGUUUAGUCAUCGUCAUUAAAUGAAAUGGCACGCACA